rnacentral:tRNA from 1 species
AUAUGUAUAGUAUAAUUAAUUACAUUUAACUUCCAAUUAAAAAAUUUUAGUAAUAAAUAUAUAUA